AUGCCUAACACAUGCAAGUCGAACGAGACCUUCGGGUUUAGUGGCGCACGGGUGCGUAACGCGUGGGAAUCUGCCCUUGGGCUCGGAAUAACAGUUGGAAAUGACUGCUAAUACCGGAUGAUGACGAAAGUCCAAAGAUUUAUCGCCGAGGGAUGAGCCCGCGUAGGAUUAGGUAGUUGGUGAGGUAAAGGCUCACCAAGCCGAUGAUCCUUAGCUGGUCUGAGAGGAUGAUCAGCCACACUGGGACUGAGACACGGCCCAGACUCCUACGGGAGGCAGCAGUGGGGAAUAUUGGACAAUGGGCGAAAGCCUGAUCCAGCAAUGCCGCGUGAGUGAUUAAGGCCUUUGGGUUGUAAAGUUCUUUUACCCGGGAUGAUAAUGACAGUACCGGGAGAAUAAGCCCCGGCUAACUCCGUGCCAGCAGCCGCGGUAAU
rnacentral:rRNA from 1 species